rnacentral:lncRNA from 1 species
CGAGUUAUAACUUCUAUAUGGUGCUUGACUUUGAUGCCAAGGAUCUAGUAUCUACAUUGAAAAAAUAGAUCUUGACCUAUGUUGAUGCACAAAACUGGAAAUCUUAUAACAACGUAAAUCCUACCGUGAAUUUGCAAGAAAGUAAAUAACACAAGAUGUAUCAUGGUUCACCCCAAGGUUUGGGCUAUGUCCACACUGAUUAUUGUAUUUCUCUGAGAUGUGAGGGGAGUGAGAGAGAGAGCUUCUGAGAGUGAGAGAACUCUUCCCAUGGCCUAAGAAAAUGGUCUCCUCUAAUUGUGAGGGUGAGGAGUCUUUUAAUAGAAUAAGGGCUCCUCACUUAUUACAUAUUUGCCCCUUCUUUUAUUACAUAAUUACAUUUGAGUCCCCCGAGUAUUUAUACGAGGUCUAAAUACGGAGGUCCUAAGUAUGGUAUAAACAGUAGUCCCCAAGUCUUUAGUCAAUAGAGUCUUUUGGCUAGAGACAUGAAAUUGAAUUCAUGUAUAGGCCGAAGUGGCGGUUGUUUGGAAGCGGUAUUUGUAUACCCUGCACUAAAGCUUUGUAGGUGGAGCUUUGCAAGUGAAGCUUUGAAGCUAGAGCUCUGUAAAUGAAGCUUUCGAAGCUGGAGCUCUGUAAAUAAAGCUUUUGAAGCUAGAGCUCUGUAAAUGAAGCUUUUGAAGCUAUAACUUUGUAAAUGAAGUUUUUGAAGCUGAUUGACAUGAGUGAUGCUCAUGAAUGUUUUUGUUGAUUGACAUGAGUGAUGCUCAUGGAUGUUGACAUGAGUGAUGCUCAUGAAUGUUGACAUGAGUGAUGUUCAUGAAUGUUGACAUGAAUGAUGGUCAUGAAUGUUUAUGUAUGAUUGACAUGAGUGAUGCUCAUAAAAUGUUUAUGUAUGAUUGACAUGAGUGAUGCUCAUGUAUAAUUUAAAGUACUAGGCGUACUUUUGAUCACCUGGCGAUAAUAGUGGCGGGGUGCCGAAUAAUUUUUGUAGUACUGGGCGUACUUUUGGUCACCUAGUUGGUGAUAAUAGCGGCAGGGUGCCGAAUAAUUUUUUGUAGUACUAUACGUACUUUUGGUCACCUGGUUGGUGAUAAUAGAAGGCCUGACUCUUUUGGGCAUACGGGCCUUCGCCCUCCACAUUACAUCCCAUUAUUUUAGGCUUGCGUGUUUUUUUUUUUUAUUACCCUCUGAUGGGGUUUAUACAUAUGUUUCCGAGAAAUAAGAAAAAUAAAUUACAUCAUGCAAAAAUAAGGAAAGUAAAUCACAUCAUUCUGGUAGGGUGUUUAUUCCUUGCUUUUGUAGUGUUGCCAUGUGCUCUCGCAGAGGAAAGCCUCCAUUUUGCUUUCUGCUUUUUCUCGGUUUUUUCUGCAUUUACUUUCGCUUUUGUUUCCCAUUCCAUUUCACAACUCAAGUAGAUAUAUCCUCAUGUUCUGGGCCUUUAGAAAUGAUUUCACAUGGCUACCACCCAAUAAUCCAUUUUGCUUUUCUCGCGGCUUUCUCAAAAAAUGGGAGGAAUAUGCAUGAUGAAACUUGCUUUCCAGAAAGCUCAAUGCUCUCUGCAUGAUGAAACUUCAUUUUCCAGAAAACUCAGUGCUUUCCAGAAAGCUUAGUGCACUCUGCAGCUCAGUGUUUCUUGGUGAAAAGGUUGCGGAGGGCACUAUAGUCAUUAUGAAAUGUUGGAGUUGGAUGUACCUGGUAAGGAGGUUGCGGAGGGCGUGGCGUUGGCCGGAGUGAUGAGUGAUUUUGCAAAUGUCUAAAUGCUGGAAACAAACUUGACAUAUAAACCGAAUCUCUUUCGUUAAUUGAAGCAGAGACAUUAGAAGUGUUUGUGUUGUUAGUAUUAUUGGCUUCAACAACUUCAUCUCUGAACCUGUUGUCUUGCCCAAGAAAAACCCACCCUGCUCCAAGUUCAAACUCAACGGCAUACCCAGCCUCUUCCCAACUCCUCAUUCUCUGUACCCAGCAACACCACCCUAUGACCCAACAGAACCCAGCUGUAGCGCCAUGGGCAUAGAUAAAACGAAAAGAUGCAUCCUCUGCUGCAGUUGCAUGCCUUGUUGGCUGCCUUGGAAACGAAAGGAUUGUUGGUCGAGUAAACGGUCGAAUUUCGAGCCCAUUAAAAACUCGAAUAUGGUGGGCGGAAGGGGAUGAAGCCUCGACCCGGUAGCGUCGUUGUAGUAGAGUUCGAAUGAGUUGGAAUCGGUAUUGGUUUCAAUGCUGCGUAGAACGAUGACUGGGUUAAAAGGUGACGACCGGUCACCUGAUGCUCGUCGGACCCGGCGAGAGGACAAAGUCAGGUUUUGACCCGGUUCAUCAUAGUGGCAGUGGGAUGACGAGAAUCUACGACGGAGAUAGUUCGGCUGCGGCAGCGGCUGGGGCAUCGUCUCGAUCUCCUCGAGGAAGCCGGUUUUGUAGUGGGGGCACGAGAAGGCGGAGUCCAAGGCAAACACUCGGACGAAGCGAGUGCAUCUGUAUCACCAAUACGACGUCGUCGGUGGCAGCGAUGGUAUGGCCAUGGAGGUUUAGAGAUCUGAAAGGGAAGAGAGAAAAAAAGUUCUAGAGAAAGAGCCUCGUCGACAAACUGUUUAUGCAGCAGCGCCAGCAUCCUUUCCCUUCUUCCUCCGGAGCUUCUUCAUGUAAAACUCAAGUUCUUUACCCUCCAAGAUGUAUCAUCAUAUCUACCACAUUGGCCUGGAUGGGAAGGUAUGCAAGCCAGCAAUCUCCCACCUCCAAACUCCUUUUUCAAUAUGGGGGUCUAAAGUGCGACCUUACUGGCGUUUCUCAAGUUUCCUAGCAACAUGAUUACUCUUCUUUGCUUCCUUUAUCUCUGUGACCCAGUUAGAUUGUAGUCAGAUCUACGGUGGUUGUUCACGAUGCUUCGUUUGUGGUGACAGGCAUGGAGGAGGACGCCGUGAGGAGGAAGACCAUGUCUAUUAGGCACAGAGUUGGUGGUGGCGGUGAGUGACAUUGGCUUGUAAUUUUGGGCUCUCUCCAGAGGUUACUUACCGGAUAACAUGGGCUGCGGUGGCUCCAAGGUCGAUGGCUUGCCGUUAGUCACGCUUUGCAGGGAGCGAAAUGACUUCAUCAAAAAAACGUUGGACCAGCGCUACACUCUUACCGCAGACCACCUCUCUCUCUGCUUUGUGUGUAUCGUUUCUCUCUCUAGAGAGUAGAGAGAUGGUGGAGUUUUGAGAGUUAUCCUGAUGUGGUGGAAGAACAAAGAACGUGCACUGAGGUUUUGAGAUCUUGGGUUUUUGUAGAUUCACGGUGGAGGUGAAAAAAUGAAAGAGAACCGACAUAGUUUUUCGUGUCGAUUCCCACAGACGGCGCCAAAUGUUGAUGCACAAAACCGGAGGUCUUGGAACAACGUAAAUCCGACCGUGAAUCUGUAAGAAAGUAAAUAACACAAGAUGUAUCGUGGUUCACCCCAAGGUUUGGGCUACGUCCACACUGAUUAUUGUAUUUCUCUGAGAGAUGAGGGGAGUGAGGGAGAGAGCUUCUGAGAGUGAGAGAACUCUUCCCAUGGCUUAAGAAAAUGGCAUCCUCUAAUUGUGAGGGUGAUGAGUCCUUUUAUAGAAUAAGGGCUCCUCACUUAUUAUAUUUGCCCCUUCUUUUAUUACAUAAUUACAUUUGAGUCACCCGAGUAUUUAUACGAGGUCUAAAUACGGAAGCCCUAAGUAUGGUAUAAACAACCUAGUAUACAAGUUUUGGAGAGAAUUUUUCAAUGUGCUCAAAACAUGGGAUAAUACAUCACGUGUCACUGUACAAGUAGUGAGAUAUUUGUGUAAUAACUCAAAAAAUAGAACUUUUCUCCACUUAUAUAAUAACACGUGGUGUACCACUCGUGAAAUUGGUACCAAGUGGAAUACCCUACAAUAAAAAUUUAGAAGCAACUAUACUAACUAGUCAGAUGAACUAUUCAACUAAGUACAGGUUGUUAGAUAUCCACAAGCAUAUAAACCAAGUAAACUGAUACUGUUAAAGCAAGACAAAUGAUCUCCAUUUAUUGUUGUAGCUUUUGUUCUUGAGUUAAGUUUACUUAGUUAACAAAGUGUUAAUACUAGCACACCCUACAAAGUUUAUCUCUAACAACGAUUAUUUGGACAUAAAGGUAACUUUGCAAAGUAUUGACACACAAGAAAGUUUUUGGCCAGAAAAAACCCACCUAUGGGUAGAAAACCGGGGACUCUUCACUGAGUCCAAUCCACUAGUGUAAACAAGGUUCAUACAAAGACCACACAAACUCUGUUGAUGCACAAAAUCGACGAGGACUUUGGUACAACAGAAAGUGUCAAGUUU